GGCAGAGGGAGCCCGACCCCCGUGGCGACACGAGGAAAGUCCCCCCACCGUCCGGGCAGGCGACCGGGCACACGCCCGGAGUCGGAGACGGCUGGCUCUCGAACAGAGACGACACCGCCCGCGCCGACCGAUGAGGCGUGCGAACCGCCCCGAGAGGGGUCCGUGGUCGCGAGGCCACGAGCACCGCGCGGCGACCCGCGCGGGCCGGGAGCCCCCGCCGAGGGGUCGGAGAUCUCGGAUCUCCGUCGACGCGCGGGAACGGGUGGAACGACGAACCUCGCCGGUGCAAGCCCACACUGACGGCGCACACGCGCCCGAUGGUAGUCUGGACGGGACCCGGGUCGUGGCUCGCCACGACCCGCGGGGCCGGUGUGGGCGCUCAGCCGAAUGUCGGGUCGAACCGAAGGGGGCUUACUCCCCUCAGCC
rnacentral:RNase_P_RNA from 2 species